AGGGCCUUCCUAACACAGAGAGCUGGGACGGUGUUCCUGGCACGUCUGGUCAGACAGGAAGACAACUGUGAGAAAGACUAGUGGAGUGUUAAGCCUGGGAAUGUCAUUGCUCCAGCAGGCUCACUUCUCUCAAGGUUGAGAGACACAGAUCUUUGUAGAGGAGUGUAGAAAACUAGCUGCCCCCUGUCCCUGACAGGAAACCAUGACUCUAAAAGAAUAUGCAAGACAUUUCACCCCCAUGCAGCCGAAGGUCGGCUGUACAAACCUUUCCAAAUGUCACCCUGCAACCACUGCUGACAGAAACUCCGGAGAUGCCAAAGCGCCUUGGGAUCUGCUGUUAACUCUCACCCCAAGCUGGAGGGUUUUGUUUGUUUGUUUGUUUGUUUGUCUUGUUUCUGCGGGAGCUAACAAAAUUCUUUGUGCACAGCCUGAGGAGUUGGCUUUCUGAGCCUUGGAGCUGGUGGUGCAGGACUCCGUGGUGUUUUUCCUGUCUUCCUGGGCUCCUAGAGGUCCCAAGGAGAAAACCCCAUGCUCAGGUUUCCAGAAUGGACGCUUAGGAGUCAGAGCCUCUGCUCCAGCUUCUGUGGGAGGGAGCUUGCAGGUGCCUGGAGACAACCAGCUUGCACCUGGCCGAAGCUCGCAAUCUCCGCUCUUGAUGAAGCAUGACAGAUGCCCAUGGACACGGACACGUGAGUGAGGCAGCAACUAUGCCUGCCAUACUGGCGGGCUGAAGCAAGAAUAGGCUUGCUGAAGAGCCACCGCAGCUAUCCCUGCUCUGCUCUGAGGACCAGCACCUUCAUACCCACCCCACUCCCUCCGUAGUCCUUGCUAACCUGGUUGCCGCUGUCACUACACCCUGCCACAGUCUGGCCUCCCCACCUUAUUGUCCCUGUAAGCAAGGGAGCUCAGGCUAGCCUGUCUCGGGGGAUUCUUCUGACUCCCACACCAGGAGUUCAUCCCUCCUACCAUUGGAGUCCCAGGGCUGAACUCAAGGCCUCAGGCUUGGCCAGCAAUACCUCCCACCACUGACCCAGCAGAAAGUUGUGUUUGUUUGUGUGUGUGUGUGUGUGUGUGUGUGUGUUUGAGA